AACGAACGCUGGCGGCAUGCCUAACACAUGCAAGUCGAACGAGACCUUCGGGUCUAGUGGCGCACGGGUGCGUAACGCGUGGGAACCUGCCCUUAGGUUCGGAAUAACUCCCCGAAAGGGGUGCUAAUACCGGAUAUUGUCUUCGGACCAAAGAUUUAUCGCCUUUGGAUGGGCCCGCGUUGGAUUAGCUAGUUGGUAGGGUAAAAGCCUACCAAGGCGACGAUCCAUAGCUGGUCUGAGAGGAUGAUCAGCCACACUGGGACUGAGACACGGCCCAGACUCCUACGGGAGGCAGCAGUGGGGAAUAUUGGACAAUGGGCGAAAGCCUGAUCCAGCAAUGCCGCGUGAGUGAUGAAGGCCUUAGGGUUGUAAAGCUCUUUUACCCGGGAUGAUAAUGACAGUACCGGGAGAAUAAGCGCCGGCUAACUACGUG
rnacentral:rRNA from 1 species